rnacentral:rRNA from 1 species
AGUCAUAUGCUUGUCUCAAAGAUUAAGCCAUGCAUGUCUAAGUAUAAGCAAUUUGUACUGUGAAACUGCGAAUGGCUCAUUAAAUCAGUUAUCGUUUAUUUGAUAGUACCUUACUACAUGGAUACCUGUGGUAAUUCUAGAGCUAAUACAUGCUAAAAACCUCGACUUCGGAAGGGGUGUAUUUAUUAGAUAAAAGGCCGACCGGGCUUGCCCGACUCGCGGUGAAUCAUGAUAACUUCACGAAUCGCAUGGCCUCGUGCCGGCGAUGUUUCAUUCAAAUUUCUGCCCUAUCAACUUUCAACCGUAAGGUAGUGGCCUACGGUGGUGGUAACGGGUGACG